GGGUGUAAUUUAGUAGGUUAAAAUGGUGGCCUGUCACGCUAUUUACAUGGGUUCAAAUCCCAUCAUCCU
rnacentral:ncRNA from 11 species